rnacentral:rRNA from 1 species
AGUGGGGAAUAUUGGACAAUGGGCGAAAGCCUGAUCCAGCCAUGCCGCGUGUGUGAAGAAGGUCUUCGGAUUGUAAAGCACUUUAAGUUGGGAGGAAGGGCAGUCAGUUAAUACCUUGCUGCUUUGACGUUACCGACAGAAUAAGCACCGGCUAACUCUGUGCCAGCAGCCGCGGUAAUACAGAGGGUGCAAGCGUUAAUCGGAAUUACUGGGCGUAAAGCGCGCGUAGGUGGUUUGCCAAGUUGGAUGUGAAAGCCCCGGGCUCAACCUGGGAACUGCAUCCAAAACUGGCAGGCUAGAGUACGGUAGAGGGUGGUGGAAUUUCCUGUGUAGCGGUGAAAUGCGUAGAUAUAGGAAGGAACACCAGUGGCGAAGGCGACCACCUGGACUGGUACUGACACUGAGGUGCGAAAGCGUGGGGAGCAAA